rfam:Nicotiana attenuata strain TT chromosome 3, whole genome shotgun sequence.
CGAAGUUUCCCUCAGGAUAGCUGGAGCUCGCGUGCGAGUUUUAUCGGGUAAAGCCAAUUAUUAGAGGCAUCGGGGGCGCAACGACCUCGACCUAUUCUCAAACAUUAAAUAGGUAGGACGUCGCGGAUGCUUUGUUGAGCCGCGCCACGGAAUCAAAAGCUCCAAGAGGGCCAUUUUUGGUAAGCAGAACUGGCGAUGCGGGAUGAACCGGAAGUCGGGUUACGAUGCCAAACUGCGCUAACCUAGAUCCCACAAUGGGUGUUGGUCGAUUAAGACAGCAGGACGGUGGUCAUGGAAGUCGAAAUCCGCUAAGGAGUGUGUAACAACUCACCUGCCGAAUCAACUAGCCCCGAAAAUGGAUGGCGCUAUAUAUACACAUAACAUAAUUAACAUUAAAUUAAUCAGCUUUAUGAAAUUUCAAUGUUG